CUCCCGACUCGCUCCCGGCGCCGCUAAGUUCUCCGCUGGGACCGCGCAGAGCCGGGGCCGGGCCAGAGCGGCGCCCCCCGGCCCUGUCCCCGCGCGCAGACCGGGCCCGGCCCCGGCCCCCCCCCCGAGACCCCCCCGACAUGCUGUGUGGCCGCUGGGGGAGCCGCCGGCGCCGGGAGCCCCCGGUGCCGGCCCAGGUCGCCGCGACUGUCGCGCUCCCGCCCCCGCCCGCUCUCCAGGACGGCGGCGCCCGGAGGCCCGGGCUGCGGGCGCUGAAGAAGAUGGGCCUGACGGAGGAUGAGGACGUGCGCGCCAUGCUUCGAGGCUCCCGCCUCUGCAAGAUCCGCUCGCGGACGUGGCAGAAGGAGCGGCUGUACCGGCUGCAGGAGGACGGCCUGACCGUGUGGUUCCAGCGGCGCAUCCCGCACGCUCCGUCGCAGCACAUCUUCUUCGUGCAGCACAUCGAGGCCGUCCGCGAGGGCCAUCAGUCCGAGGGCCUGCGGCGCUUCGGGGGAGCCUUCGCCCCGGCGCGCUGCCUCACCAUCGCCUUCAAGGGCCGCAGGAAGAACCUGGACCUGGCGGCACCCACCGCCGAGGAGGCGCAGCGCUGGGUGCGCGGCUUGGCCAAGCUGCGCGCGCGCCUGGAGGCCAUGAGCCAGCGCGAGCGCCUGGAUCACUGGAUCCACUCCUAUCUGCACCGGGCGGACUCCAACCAGGACAGUAAGAUGAGCUUCAAGGAGAUCAAGAGCCUGCUCAGAAUGGUCAACGUGGACAUGAAUGACAUGUACGCCUACCGCCUCUUCAAGGAGUGUGACCACUCCGACAACGAGCGGCUGGAGGGGACCGAGAUUGAGGAGUUUCUGCGGCGCCUGCUGAAGCGCCCGGAGCUGGAGGAGAUCUUCCGUCGGUACUCGGGCGAGGACCGGGUGCUGAGCGCCCCCGAGCUGCUGGAGUUCCUGGAGGACCAGGGCGAGGACGGCGCCACGCUGGCCCACGCCCAGCAGCUCAUCCAGACCUACGAGCUCAACGAGACAGCCAAGCAGCACGAGCUGAUGACACUGGAUGGCUUCAUGAUGUACCUGUUGUCACCAGAGGGGGACGCCCUGAACCCGGCCCACACGUGCAUGUUCCAGGACAUGGACCAGCCCCUCUCCCACUAUUUUAUCUCCUCCUCCCACAAUACCUACCUGACCGACUCCCAGAUUGGGGGGCUCAGCAGCACGGAGGCCUACGUUAGAGCCUUCGCGCAGGGAUGCCGCUGUGUGGAGCUGGACUGCUGGGAGGGGCCAGGAGGGGAGCCCGUCAUCUACCAUGGCCACACGCUCACCUCCAAGAUCCUCUUCCGAGAUGUGGUCCAGGCCGUGCGUGACCACGCCUUCACGCUGUCCCCAUACCCUGUCAUCCUCUCCCUCGAGAACCACUGUGGGUUGGAGCAGCAGGCUGUCAUGGCCUGCCACCUCCGCACCAUCCUGGGGGACAUGCUGGUGACACAGGCGCUGGACUCCCAGAACCCCGAAGAGCUGCCAUCCCCAGAGGUGAUGCCCCAGAGCCUCAGCCAGCUGAAGGGCCGGGUCCUGGUGAAGGGCAAGAAGCUGCCAGCUGCUCGGAACGAGGAUGGUCGCAUCUUGUCAGACCGGGAGGAGGAGGAGGAAGAGGAGGAGGAAGAAGAGAGGGUGGAGGCCGCAGAGCAGAAGCGGCAGGCCAAGCAGAUCUCCCCAGAACUGUCGGCCCUGGCCGUGUACUGCUGUGCCACGCGCCUUCGGACCCUGCGCCCUGCCCCCGGCCCACCCCAGCCCUACCAGGUCAGCUCCCUCAGCGAGCGCAAGGCCAAGAAGCUCAUUCGAGAGGCAGGGAACAGCUUUGUCAGGCACAAUACCCGGCAACUGACCCGUGUCUACCCAUCGGGGCUUCGGAUGAACUCGGCCAACUACAGCCCCCAGGAGAUGUGGAACUCAGGCUGUCAGCUGGUGGCCCUGAACUUCCAGACGCCAGGCUAUGAAAUGGACCUCAAUGCGGGGCGCUUCCUCGUCAACGGGCAGUGCGGCUACAUCCUGAAACCUGCCUGCCUGCGGCAGCCUGACACAAACUUUGACCCCGAGAGCCCUGGACCCCCCAGAACUACUCUCACCAUCCAGGUGCUGACUGCACAGCAGCUGCCCAAGCUGAAUGCCGAGAAGCCGAGCUCCAUUGUGGACCCCCUGGUGCGUGUUGAGAUCUACGGGGUGCCCAUGGACUGUGCUCGAAAGGAGACCAACUACGUGCUUAACAAUGGCUUCAACCCCCACUGGGGGCAGACCCUGCAGUUCCAGCUGCGGGCUCCAGAGCUGGUGCUGGUCCGGUUUGUGGUAGAAGAUUAUGACACCACGUCCCCCAAUGACUUUGUGGGCCAGUUUACACUGCCUCUCAACAGCCUGAAGCAAGGGUACCGCCACAUCCACCUGCUGUCCAAGGACGGGGCCUCACUGUCACCAGCCACGAUCUUCGUCCAUAUCCGAGUCCAGCACUCCCGAGGGCCCGACUGACCCCCGCGGACACAGCUGCGUGCGGCGGUGAGCCUCCUCUGGAGUGGAGGGCAGGGGUGAACCCGGCCGGCCUGGUGCUGGGCUGCCUCAGUGCCUCCGAAAGAACAGGGGCGUUAUCUCCUCCCUGCACCUGAGAUGGCCGAGGACUCAAGAAGCCGGGCCACCUUUCAUUGUGAUUUAUCAAGAGCCAGGCCUGCGACUGCCAGGAGACCUGGGGAGCAGGACAUACGAACCCUCAGCCCCUCUGCCCCUGAAAGGAGUCCAGCCACGGCCUCACCCCACCCAGCUUCCGGGACAGCAGAAUGAACCUCUGGCCAACCUCACCCAAACCACAGCCUCCAACAGCUCUGCUAGCCUGCAGGGCAUGGCUGCAGCUGGUAAGACCAGACUGAGUCUGGCCUCCUGGCUAAGACUUCCUUCCCCCUACAAGUAGCUGAGAGGUGAAAGCAGCCAGGAAGCCGUCACACCACGUUAUCCACCCACUUCCUUUCUCCUAGAGCAAAAGUCACAUACAAACCUGGAUGUGGGUUGCUGACAAUUCCAGCCAAAUCCUCCCUAAGCCAGUUGGCUGAGCACACGUGAAGAACAGGAAUGCCUACACAGCCAGCCACGUGACCGGAGGUCCCACUACUGUGGGGAAACGGGCAGCAUCAUAACCAUCACCACCACCACCACAAAAAUCCACCGAAUAUCAUCAGUGAAAACCACACGCAGACAAUGGCAACAUGAAAUCAUGUCUGUUCAGUUCAGAUUGGCGUCUAACCACCGCUCCUUGCCAUUCCUCGCAGGCUGUCUUGGAAAGGAGCACAAGAGAUGGCCAAUGGGUUGGAAGGCACAGGCCAGGGGCCUGGGAACCCACACCAUCCUUGCCCAGCCACCCUGGGGACGUGAGGGUGCUGGCUCUUUGCUCUAAGAUGAGCUAACCAGGCCUUGCACUGACAUGGUCUCCACAAAGUCCCAAAUGCUACAAGGAGGUCAAAGGUCCCCUUCAAACUGCCAGUCACCCCUGGAAAUGGAAAAACAAUCUCAUGGGGGACUCACGCCUAUAAGAUUGGCAACAGCUGGCUAAAGAGUUGGCAGGAUGGCUUCCAACAGGGAGCAGGCCAAGCAGGUGGGAGAAGGGACUCAUUUAAUGAAAUCUGCUUCCACAGAUCACCACCGCCCGUUUCUGAAUGCAGAAAAGGCCCGGGCCGGCGGGAAAGCCUCUGAGGAGGACUGGCUCCACCUAGGACUCCACCUGCAGUCUGUGAGAUCAGGCCCUCCCCACAGCUUGGCACAGACCCUCCACCUUCCUCUGCCUUCUCAAAGCCAAUCAUUCCAGCCAAUUCAGAAGGGGAACUGGACAGAAUUGCCCACAUCCUCUUCCUCCUGUUCCCCCAAGAAAAGCCGAUACCUGCUUGCAGAAGAGAACAAUUCACUGUAGCAAUGUGUACGUCUGGCCCUGUCCUUGAUUCUAAUUUUCAGGAAUGAUCUGAAUUCAGCUUUUCAUUAGAGACCGAACAUCCUUGUACAUUUGGAACAUGAAAGAUAUUUAAAAUAUUUA